AUCCAGCUGACAAGUCCCAAACAGGACGAAACGUGCAUCCUGGAU
rnacentral:hammerhead_ribozyme from 1 species